rnacentral:rRNA from 1 species
ACCCGCUGAACUUAAGCAUAUCAAUAAGCGGAGGAAAAGAAAAUAACAAUGAUUCCCCCAGUAACGGCGAGUGAACAGGGAAAAGCUCAAAGUUGGAACCUCCUGGCCUUAGGUCUGGCGGAUUGUAAACUAAAGCUCUAGAGUAGUUUGGCUGGCCCGGUAAAAAAGUUCUCUGGAAAGGGACGACAAAGAGGGUGAAAUCCCCGUUUUUGGCCGGAGCAUAGUCUCACGUUUGCUCUUUAGCGAAGAGUCAGGUUGUUUGGUAUUGCAGCCUAAAGUUGGAGGUAAAUCUCUCCUAAAGCUAAAUAUUGACGAAAGACCGAUAGCGAACAAGUACCGUGAGGGAAAGAUGAAAAGCACCUUGAAAAGGGGGUCAAAAAGUACGUGAAAUUGCUGAAAGGGAACGGUAUGAAAUCAGACUGUCUUUUUGGUAAUCAGCCUGGGCUUUGGCCUGGGUGCACUUGCCAGUAAGUACAGCCUACGACAAUUUGAAGCGUGGGAAAAAAUCAGGGGGAAUGUGGCCUCGGCUUCGGCGGAGGUGUUAUAGCCCCUUGAAAAAUACCAUGCUUUGGAUUGAGGACUGCAGUGAGCCAUUAGGGAUGAACUGUAGGCGCUUAGUUUCGGUAAGGAAGGAAUCUCUGCUUCGGGUGGUGCCUUUUUUCUCGGGAUUAACCCGUUUACUUUUUCUUUUUCUCGCUUAGGUCGUAGGCAUAAUGAUUUUAUAUCACCCGUCUUGAAACACGGACCAAGGAGUCCACCAUGAUUGCGAGUCUUUGGGUGUAGAAACCCAUGGGCGGAAGGAAACUGACCAAGAUAUGAAGGCGCAAGCUGGCAAUAUCCUCCAGCGAGGACGUUUUAUACUGAAUUGACUGAGAGAAAGCAAUUAUGAUGGGACCCGAAAGAUGGUGAACUAUACUUGAAUAGGGUGAAGCCAGAGGAAACUCUGGUGGAAGCUCGUAGCGAUUCUGACGUGCAAAUCGAUCGUCAAAUUUGAGUAUAGGGGCGAAAGACUAAUCGAACCAUCUAGUAGCUGGUUCCUGCCGAAGUUUCCCUCAGGAUAGCAGAAACUCACAAAGCAGUUUUAUGGGGUAAAGCGAAUGAUUAGAGGCCUUGGGGGCGAAAUGCCCUUAACCUAUUCUCAAACUUUAAAUAUGUAAGACGCCUUUCUUUCUUAAUUGAAGUUGGGCCUUUGAAUGCAGAGUUUCUAGUGGGCCAUUUUUGGUAAGCAGAACUGGCGAUGCGGGAUGAACCGAACGUAAAGUUAAGGUGCCCAAAUCUACGCUCAUGAGACACCACAAAAGGUGUUAGUUCAUCUAGACAGCAGGACGGUGGCCAUGGAAGUCGGAAUCCGCUAAGGAGUGUGUAACAACUCACCUGCCGAAUGAACUAGCCCUGAAAAUGGAUGGCGCUUAAGCGUAGUACCUAUACUUUACCGUCAAUGUAAAAGCGAAGCAUUGACGAGUAGGCAGGCGUGGAGGUUUUGUAUAGAAGCCGUGGGCGUGAGCUCUGGUGAAACAGCCUCUAGUGCAGAUCUUGGUGGUAGUA